GGAGUGCUGGCCUGAUGCCAACUGCUCUCAGAGGAUGACGUUGCUGAGAGAUAAUCAAUGCCAAACCCACCCAUGGCUAAGGGAUGAAAAGAGGUGAUUUGAGAUGGAUGAGAAACCAAAAAAGGAGAUUGUAUUUUCAGUCUGGACCUUAUUGCGAGCAGUUACAGAGAAUGGAGGAAAGACAGGCUGGAGUACAAUGGCGCGAUCUCAGCUCACCGCAACCUCUGCUUCCUGGGUUCAAGCGAUUUUCCUGUCUCAGCCUCCCGAAGUGGUGGGAUUACAGGCAUAUGCCACAAUGCCUGGCUAAUAUCUUUUGUAUUUUUAGUAAAAGAGAUGGGGUUUCACCAUGUUGGCCAGGCUGGUCUCAAACUCCUGACCUCAAGUGAUCCGCCUGCCUCAGCCUCCCCAAGUGCUGGGAUUACAGGCAUGAGCCACAGUGCUUGGCCCACAGGGUCUUAAAUGUGGCUUAAAAAAGGCAUUUUCUAAGUUGUGACCUUGGUCAAUAUAUGUGCUGGGCCACAAAGCAAAACUUUCAAAGAGAUUCUCCUUAAAUAUACCAUCAAAAUAUGCAGGGGAGGAACUUCCUAUUUGGUGCCAAGCCACCUUGGAAGUAUUUAUUUCUAUAAUCAAAGGUACACUGAAAGUUUUCAUUUGUCAUUGUAAAAUCAAUGGUUCCUAAGAGCUGUCAGAAUUACUGUGAGUAGAGAUGACAGAGAAAAUGGUGAGAAUCAAAAUAACUUUCAAUCUUUAUGCUUCAAAUAAACAAAUAUUAUUCAAAUUGAGUGUUACUGUAAGGCAACAUCAAACAGUUCAUGUACAGAAAAAAAUGGAAGAAAUAAAAAUCUCUUCCCUUCAACUCAAACAAAAAAUUAAGGAAUACUGUAAUAGAUAAGAAACAAACUGGUUUUACUUCAAGUUCACUUUGAAAUGUGAAAAAUGCCUUUUCCCCAGGACAGCAACUGGGAACAAGGGAGUGUACAAGGAGUCACAAAUCCUUAAGACUAAGCCUCACAUGAAGAAUUCAAAUAAACAAAUGAAAAGCGUACAAA